rnacentral:rRNA from 1 species
UACAGAGGUCUCAAGCGUUGUUCGGAUUCAUUGGGCGUAAAGGGUGCGUAGGUGGCGCACUAAGUCAGGUGUGAAAUUUCGGAGCUUAACUCCGAAACUGCAUUUGAUACUGGCGUGCUUGAGGACUGGAGAGGAGACUGGAAUUCAUGGUGUAGCAGUGAAAUGCGUAGAGAUCAUGAGGAAGACCAGUGGCGAAGGCGGGUCUCUGGACAGUUCCUGACGCUGAGGCACGAAGGCCAGGGGAGCAAACGGG